AUGGUUAAGUCCUCGAUCUAUUAGUAUUCGUCAGCUCCACAUGUCACCAUGCUUCCACCUCGAACCUAUCAACCUGAUCAUCUUUCAGGGAUCUUACUAGCUUACGCUAUGGGAAAUCUCAUCUUGAGGGGGGCUUCAUGCUUAGAUGCUUUCAGCACUUAUCCCUUCCGCACAUAGCUACCCAGCUAUGCCCUUGGCAGAACAACUGGUACACCAGCGGUGCGUCCAUCCCGGUCCUCUCGUACUAAGGACAGCUCCUCUCAAAUUUCCUACGCCCACGACGGAUAGGGACCGAACUGUCUCACGACGUUCUGAACCCAGCUCGCGUACCGCUUUAAUGGGCGAACAGCCCAACCCUUGGGACCGACUACAGCCCCAGGAUGCGAUGAGCCGACAUCGAGGUGCCAAACCUCCCCGUCGAUGUGGACUCUUGGGGGAGAUAAGCCUGUUAUCCCCGGGGUAGCUUUUAUCCGUUGAGCGAUGGCCCUUCCAUGCGGAACCACCGGAUCACUAAGCCCGACUUUCGUCCCUGCUCGACUUGUAGGUCUCGCAGUCAAGCUCCCUUAUGCCUUUGCACUCUACGAAUGAUUUCCAACCAUUCUGAGGGAACCUUUGGGCGCCUCCGUUACACUUUAGGAGGCGACCGCCCCAGUCAAACUGCCCACCUGACACUGUCUCCCGGGUCGAUAAGACCCGUAGGUUAGAAUUUCAAUACAGUCAGGGCGGUAUCCCACCAGCGCCUCCACCGAAGCUAGCGCUCCGGUUUCAAAGGCUCCCGCCUAUCCUGUACAAACUGUACCAAAAUUCAAUAUCAGGCUACAGUAAAGCUCCACGGGGUCUUUCCGUCCUGUCGCGGGUAACCUGCAUCUUCACAGGUACUAUAAUUUCACCGAGUCUCUGGUUGAGACAGUGCCCAAAUCGUUACACCUUUCGUGCGGGUCGGAACUUACCCGACAAGGAAUUUCGCUACCUUAGGACCGUUAUAGUUACGGCCGCCGUUUACUGGGGCUUCAGUUCAGAGCUUCGCUUACGCUAACCCCUCUCCUUAACCUUCCAGCACCGGGCAGGUGUCACCCCCUAUACUUCGCCUUACGGCUUCGCAGAGAGCUGUGUUUUUGCUAAACAGUCGCUUGGGCCUAUUCACUGCGGCUUUCCGUUAAGAAAGCACCCCUUCUCCCGAAGUUACGGGGUCAUUUUGCCGAGUUCCUUAACCAGAGUUCUCUCGCACACCUUAGGAUUCUCUCCUCGCCUACCUGUGUCGGUUUGCGGUACAGGCACCUUUUAUCUCGCUAGAAGCUUUUCUUGGCAGCGGGGAAUCAAAGACUUCGCUCCAUAAGGAGCUUCCCCAUCACAGCUCAGCCUUCACGAUAAGCGGAUUUGCCUACUUAUCAGCCUAACUGCUUGGACGUGCACAACCAAUCGCACGCUUCUUCUAUCCUUCUGCGUCCCUCCAUUGCUCAAACGAUAAAGAGGUGGUACAGGAAUAUCAACCUGUUGUCCAUCGCCUACGCCUGUCGGCCUCGGCUUAGGUCCUGACUAACCCUGAGCGGACGAGCCUUCCUCAGGAAACCUUAGGCAUUCGGUGGACGGGAUUCUCACCCGUCUUUCGCUACUCAUACCGGCAUUCUCACUUCUAAGCACUCCACCAGUCCUUCCGGUCUGACUUCACUGUCCUUAGAACGCUCCCCUACCACUGAUACCAUUCGGUAUCAAUCCGCAGCUUCGGUGGUGUAUUUAGCCCCGGUACAUUUUCGGCGCAGAGUCACUCGACUAGUGAGCUAUUACGCACUCUUUAAAUGGUGGCUGCUUCUAAGCCAACAUCCUAGUUGUCUAAGCAACUCCACAUCCUUUUCCACUUAAUACACACUUUGGGACCUUAGCUGGCGGUCUGGGCUGUUUCCCUUUUGACUACGGAUCUUAUCACUCGCAGUCUGACUCCUAAGGAUAAGUCAUUGGCAUUCGGAGUUUGACUGAAUUCGGUAAUCCGAUGAGGACCCCUAGUCCAAUCAGUGCUCUACCUCCAAGACUCUUACACUUAAGGCUAGCCCUAAAGCUAUUUCGGGGAGAACCAGCUAUCUCCAGGUUCGAUUGGAAUUUCUCCGCUACCCACACCUCAUCCCCGCACUUUUCAACGUGCGUGGGUUCGGGCCUCCAUUCAGUGUUACCUGAACUUCACCCUGGACAUGGGUAGAUCACCUGGUUUCGGGUCUACGACCACGUACUAAACGCCCUAUUCAGACUCGCUUUCGCUGCGGCUCCGCCUCUUCAGCUUAACCUCGCACGGGAUCGUAACUCGCCGGUUCAUUCUACAAAAGGCACGCCAUCACCCGUUAACGGGCUCUGACUAUUUGUAGGCACACGGUUUCAGGAUCUCUUUCACUCCCCUUCCGGGGUGCUUUUCACCUUUCCCUCACGGUACUGGUUCACUAUCGAUCACUAGGGAGUAUUUAGCCUUGGGAGAUGGUCCUCCCAGAUUCCGACGGAAUUUCACGUGUUCCGCCGUACUCAGGAUACAUUCAAGAGAGAACGAAGUUUCGACUACGGGGUUGUUACCCUCUACGACGGACCUUUCCAGGUCGCUUCGUCUACCUCGUUCCUUUGUAACUCCGUAUAGAAUGUCCUACAACCCCAAGAGGCAAGCCUCUUGGUUUGGGCUAUGUUCCGUUUCGCUCGCCGCUACUCAGGAAAUCGCAUUUGCUUUCUCUUCCUCCAGGUACUUAGAUGUUUCAGUUCCCUGGGUCUGUCUUCCUUACCCUAUGUAUUCAGAUAAGGAUACCAUACCAUUACGUAUGGUGGGUUUCCCCAUUCGGAAAUCUUCGGAUCAAAGCUUACUUACAGCUCCCCGAAGCAUAUCGGCGUUAGUCCCGUCCUUCAUCGACUCCUAGUGUCAAGGCAUCCACCGUGCGCCC
rnacentral:rRNA from 1 species